rnacentral:rRNA from 1 species
GAUGAACGCUAGCGGGAGGCCUAACACAUGCAAGCCGAGCGGUAUUUGUUCUUCGGAACAGAGAGAGCGGCGCACGGGUGCGGAACACGUGUGCAACCUGCCUUUAUCUGGGGGAUAGCCUUUCGAAAGGAAGAUUAAUACCCCAUAAUAUAUUGAGUGGCAUCAUUUGAUAUUGAAAACUCCGGUGGAUAGAGAUGGGCACGCGCAAGAUUAGAUAGUUGGUGAGGUAACGGCUCACCAAGUCAAUGAUCUUUAGGGGGCCUGAGAGGGUGAUCCCCCACACUGGUACUGAGACACGGACCAGACUCCUACGGGAGGCAGCAGUGAGGAAUAUUGGACGAUGGGUUAGCGCCUGAUCCAGCCAUCCCGCGUGAAGGACGACGGCCCUAUGGGUUGUAAACUUCUUUUGUAUAGGGAUAAACCUACUCUCGUGAGAGUAGCUGAAGGUACUAUACGAAUAAGCACCGGCUAACUCCGUG